GACUGCCCAGAGUUGGUUGGACGGUGUUUUCUCGAGAGGAUGACAGACCUGCAGAUCUACGAGAAGUACUGUCACAACAAGCCUCGCUCUGAGAGUCUGUGGAGGCAGUGCUCAGACUGCGCCUUCUUCCAGGAGUGUCAGAAAAAGCUGGAGCAUAAACUGGGCUUGGAUUCCUACCUGCUGAAGCCUGUUCAGAGGAUCACCA